UACAGAGGGUGCGAGCGUUAAUCGGAAUUACUGGGCGUAAAGCGUGCGCAGGCGGUUUUGUAAGUCUGUUGUGAAAUCCCCGGGCUUAACCUGGGAAUGGCAAUGGAGACUGCAAGGCUAGAGUUUGGCAGAGGGGGGUAGAAUUCCACGUGUAGCAGUGAAAUGCGUAGAGAUGUGGAGGAACACCGAUGGCGAAGGCAGCCCCCUGGGUCAAGACUGACGCUCAUGCACGAAAGCGUGGGGAGCAAACAGG
rnacentral:rRNA from 1 species